rnacentral:rRNA from 1 species
UACGUAGGGUGCAAGCGUUGUCCGGAAUUAUUGGGCGUAAAGAGCUCGUAGGCGGUUUGUCGCGUCUGCUGUGAAAACCCGGGGCUCAACUCCGGGCUUGCAUUCGAUACGGGCAGACUAGAGUUCGGUAGGGGAGACUGGAAUUCCUGGUGUAGCGGUGAAAUGCGCAGAUAUCAGGAGGAACACCGGUGGCGAAGGCGGGUCUCUGGGCCGAUACUGACGCUGAGGAGCGAAAGCGUGGGGAGCGAACAGG